rnacentral:ncRNA from 1 species
UCAUUAUCGAUGAACAGGAAGAGUACACAAUACACAAAGGGUUACAGCGAGCCAAUGACAGUGGAAGUUUGGCACUACUCGGUAUGUGGAAUGGGCCUGGGAGAUACAGUCUGAUCCGUAUGUACGGGGUAGGCGCUGUCGGGAUUCUUCCGCCGUUAUCAGGAAGCAGGUAUCGGAUUGAAUUUUAUCCUGUAUCUUGUAAAGCUGAGCUUUUUUCAAAAGCUAAUCAGGGUGGCACCGCGAGUUAACUCCUCGUCCCUAUA